rnacentral:lncRNA from 1 species
UUGGAGAUGCUCUUAGGUUGUGAACAGUAACGGAUCCGGUAAACAAUAACCGUCCACUAGCUUAUGAACAGAUCCAGUAAACAUCACACACCCAUUACAAAAUUGUCCAUACCCGUUAUGACAGUCCAAACCGUAACAAACUAUACAAAUCCGUUGUACAUUAAUACCCGCCACCAUCAUUACAAAUCUGGUACUACACCAAACAAACCCAUUACUGCUCCAAACCUUAAUUUUUUUUCCUUUUUUCUCCACUUCUCUUUCCACGCUGGAUAACGAACUAAUUCUCCCUCUCCUUCCCCGCACAAACCACGGGGUCUCCCACUAUUUCUCAAUGAUUGCUAGCCCGCGCAACUGACAGGGAUCCAUGCUAGUUUAUCUUAUAACUAGAAGAUACCCCGUGCAUUACUAAGCAUUUGGAAUGAAAUUAAUAAGUGGAGAUGAUAUGGAUAGCUUGCAAUAAAAAUAUUAGAAAUUAGUGGUAGAUGACAUGGAUAGUUAGGCACUGUUUAGUUUUCCACCAAAAAUUUUUCAUCCAUCCCAUCGAAUCUUUGGACACAUACAUGAAACAUUAAAUGUACAUAAAAAAUAAACUAAUUACACAAUUUGGUUGAAAAUCGCGAGACGAAUCUUUUAAGCCUAAUUACUCCAUGAUUAGCCUUAAGUGCUAGAGUAACCCAAAUAUGCUAAUGACAGAUUAAUUAUGCUUAAUAGAUUUGUCUUGCAGUUUCCUAACGAGUUAUGUAAUUUAUUUUUUUAUUAGUUUCUAAAAACCCCUCCCGACAUCCUUCCGACACAUCGGAUGUGACACCUAAAAAUUUUCAUCUUCAAUCUAAACAAGGCCUAAGGAGGAGGAUAUGGAUAGCUUGCAUGUUGACUUGUUGAGAAAGACUUGUAGUGGGGAUUAACUUUAUAAGAGAUAUAGAUAUGUCAUAAAAUCCUGAGAUACCUUGUACUUUAUGAUGGAAGUAGCACCAGUCCAAGGCAAUGCCAAAUUAUUAGAGCAUCUCCAAGACUUUUCAAAAUCCACUCUCAAUUUAGAUUUGUUCGCAAGAUUGGAAAAAAAUGCUUUCCAAUAACUCCUUUAUCUCAACUCCUAAUCUUUUAGCACAUGGGACAAAUAAUUGACUCUUGACUCACGUGAAAGUAUCCACGUGUGUAUCGAUAUGACAAUCUAGAGGUGAAAGGCCAUAGAAUGAAUAAGAAAAGGACAUGGUUUCCAAUGCAAAUGCAUAAGGAAGAAGAAUGUAUAAAAGUGGUUGGGGCCGGUGAUCUAUAAACAGUAUGAGAUUUCUAAUGUAAAAUUAUCUUCUAUAUAUUUUUGGAGUGAUAUUUUAAAAAUUAUUGAAGGAACCCAACAAAUAUGCUCCCAACAUUUUUAGCCACUUUGAAAACUCAUUGAUUUGUUCCAAAAAAACUCAUUGAUUUACCAAUUAUUAUUUGGGAAACUAUUUGAGAUGAACUAGUAAUUAUUAAGAGCUCCACCAUGUAUUAGAUAGGAAGCAUAUUUGGAUUUCACCCGCUAAUUUUAACUUUUUUAGUUGUUACUCCCUCACUCAUGAGAUACAAGGUACCCUAGGAAUUUUAGAACAGAUUAUGGUAUAAAAACAAAUAUACCAUAUUUUGAUUUUGGUGGUAGACACUAAUGGCAAGUAUGCAUGUGAUUGGUGUAUUGGGAGGAGUUAAUUCACCUAGAAUAUUUUAUAAUUUAGAAUAAAAUUUGAAUGUUUCAAUACUUUAUUUAUAUUUUAGGACAAAAUAGAACUACUAUCACUAUAGAAUAAUUAAACCUGUCCUUGUUGUGCAUUUAUGCUUAAAGUUAUUAUUAUAGGAAAAUGAAGCCUGUCAUUUGAAUCGUUAUGCUCACGCAAACCAAAUUCACAGAAAGUAGUAUGGUCCUUGAUUAUCAUCUCAAACAAAAGAGUGAAGAAAGACCCAGUGCUCAUAGAAUAAUUAUUAGCUAGAUGAAUUAGGGGUUGUAUACGUACACAAGCAGCCAGUAUGGACUACGGAGUAGCUAGAGAUGCUUACCCGACUAUCCGAGACUGCAAACUACUCGAAACUUCUAUUUUUACAAAUUUUCAUUUCCAAAAUUUUCUAUUUUCGAUUAAAAAUUGCAAAUGUAUAUGUACUACAUUAUAUUGUCUAGACUUGUUUAAAGAACUUUAUUAAGCGUGUAUGUUUCUUCCAAUCAAAGCGCGCACUCAGCAUAAUUUUCACGCGAACAUUGUCUCUAGACUUGUUUAAAGAAACGUAUAUUAUGGAAAAUUUAUAGAUAACUUGUACAUACAAGUUUUCUUGUUAACUUAUUUGCGGAAACUUUUAUUUUUUAAAAUCCCUAAAUCAAUGCCAUCGCACAGGCACAGUAGCGUUUUGUUGGGAGGAUCGGAGGUGAAAAACAAAAUGUACGUACACGCCGGACGCGUUCCCUUCGUUCAGAAGCUUAAUUGACAUCUCAAAUUCUUAAUUAACCUAGUUUUCAAGAGAUCGAUUGAACAUGAUUUGCUCGUUUAAUAGACUUGCGAAGAAAUGAAAGCCAUGCAAGAGAGCAUAAACCGAGUUGCCGCUCAUAAUGACGAAAGAUCAAGCACGUGCAGCAUGAAAGCUCUUCCUAACGCGGAGAUGGAACUUUUAUGCAUUUAUUAUAUGCUUGACAAUAAUAGGAAAAUCGAAACCCAUCAUCGGAUCUUUAUGCUUACGCGAACCAAAUUUUCACCGGUCCCUAAAUUAAUUUAUUCGGGUGUAUCAUCCCGAUUCCUAAACUCACAAAACGACUAUUUAGAUAUCUAAAUUUGUUCGGUUAUAUCAUCUUGGUCCCUAAGCUUGAAAAUCUCCCAUAUAGGUCCUUAAACUUGCUCAAUUGUGUCAUCUCGGUCCCUAAACUUGUUUUUAAGUCUCAUCUGGAUCAAAACGGAGCGAAUCUAAAAACUCUAUUCAAAACAUAAUUCAUAACUUUUCAUAUGAACUGAAAUGAAGAUAAACUUUAUAUCAAAAUUGUAGCCAACAAUACGAUUUACAACUUUGUAGUUAAAAAGAUUUUAAAUUAAAAUCAUUUAGGGUUCCCAAAAUAUUUUUUUAAGUUUAUAGACUUUGAAAUUUAAAACUUAAAAAUUAAAUUCUAUGACACUAAAUGUUUUAAAUAAAAAUUUUCAACUACAAAGUUGUAGAUCGCGUUGAGCACUAUAACUUUAGUAUAAAAUUUGUCACCAUUCAAGUUUGAGACGUCUCCAAUAUAGGCUUGUUUAGUUCCAAAAAUUUUUAGAAAAUCGACAAUGUAACACUUUCGUUUGUAUUUAACAAAUAUUGUCCAAUCAUAGACUAACUAGGCUUAAAAGAUUUGUCUCAUCAAUUCCGACCAAACUGUGCAAUUAAUUUUUAUUUUUAUCUAUAUUUAAUACUUCAUGCAAUUGUCUAAAGAUUCGAUGUGACGAGAAAUCUAAAAAAUUUUGCAAAUUUUUUUGGGAACUAAACAAGGCCUAGAGGGAAGAAAUACUCACUGCUCGUAGGACACUAUCCUUGUUUACUUCCCUAAAUAUUUUGCAAAAUGUUUCAGAUUCUCCGUCACAUCAAAUCUUGUGAUACAUAUAUGAAGCACUAAAUAUAGGUAAAAAAGAUAACUAAUUACACAAUUGCAUGUAAUUUGUGAAAUGAAUCUUUUGAGCCUAGUUAGUCUAUAAUUGGAUAAUAUUUGUCAAAUACAAACGAAAUUGCUACUGUUCACAUUUUGAAAAAAAAAAUUUGUAAGUAAACAAAACGGGGCAAGCGCUAUAUGUACAGUCAAGCAGCCUGCACGGAAUAGAGACGCUAGUCCGAUAUGAUAAGAUAGCAAGCUCAAACUUAAAGCUAUUUGGACAUGGCCACACAAUCUCGAAAGUCUCUAUUUUUAGGAAUUUUUAUUUCCAAAAUUUUUCUAUUUUAAAGAUUAUAAAAACCACAUUUGGUCCAGUUUGCAAAAUUUUUUUGUAUAAGACAAAAGUCAAACUUGAUAUUCUUCCACCAACUAUUUAGCUAAUAAUUUUAAAUUAUUGUAGAAGUUUGAUACUAUAGACUUGUAAUCAAAUAUACUAUCUACUGGUCAAAGUGAAAUAAUAUCUUCCGGAGUAUAUUAUAUUUGAUUACAAACAAUAUAAGUUUAUAACCAUAAACAACAUACUAUCCUCGGAGGAUAGUAUAUUAUAAGUCAAAGUAAUAUAGUAUCUUCCGGAGUAGAUACUAUAUAUUUGAUUAUAAACAAUAUAAGUUUAUAUUAUAUUUAUAUUAGUAUAUUAUAUUUGAUUUAUAAGUCAAAGUAUAUACUAUCUAUUGGUCAAACAAUAUAAGUUUGUAAUCAUAAACAAUAUAAGUUUAUAGUAUCUUUAGUUUGAUAUACAACUUAAUUACUUUGACUUGUAAUCAAAUAUACUAUUAUAUUGAGUAUGAAUUUAUAUUGUGUAUGUUUAUAAUAAUACUAUAGACUAGUAAUAUUUAUAAAUAUAUAACCAUAAAUAAUAUGAUAUAAAAUAAAUAACUUAUCAAAGUGUAAUUUAGUAGACCAUGUCAUGAUGGAAGAUGCCUUAUAAACUAGAUCGAGGGUUGUACAUAACUAUAUGUAUAAUUAAGUUGUAUCCACAACGUUUUCUAGACAAAGCUCCCAUCAUAACUUUUAAAAAGCAUUGCCACUUGACCCAUUUAAAGAAAUAUUAUGAGAAAUUUUAUGGAUGACCUGUAUACAUAAGUUUUGUUGCUAAGUUAUGUGAGACAACUUUUACUUUUUGAAAUACGAACAAUUAUACACAAUUUUUCAUUGCUAGCAUGUUCUUAAAAUAUCUUGUUUAAAGUAAGUUUUCAAAGCAACUAUUUCAGCUAUGUGUUUUUAAUUUGUUUAUUUAUUGUAUAUAAAUCUUUUUAUUUUUUGCAAGUGCCACCGGCAACCCAAUGACAACACUUGUGGCUUCUACACUGCACAUCACAUGACCUUAGCAAUGGCGGCUUCAACUUGUGAAGAUCCUUUGGUAUAAACUUGUGUGAACUCCUGGAGCUAGAAAUGGCUCCUUCUAGUGCUAAUUUAUUUGUAGUGUUAUCCUGAAAUGUUGUGUUUGAAUGCAAGGAUUUUGAGGUGCCAACAGUAGAACUGGAAUUAAGUGUGCUCUGGGAAACCCGAGAAGCUAUUUCCUCAUUCCUGAUAUCGCAAGUGGUGAAAUCGGCUGCAAACUCUUGUGAAGAUCAUUCAUAAAGUGUUUGUGGGAACCCUAGCUAGAACUAGAACUCUUAUCAUUUGAUUUUGCUGGGGCUAGAUAAACUUGCGUGUGCUUAUCUAAUUCUACACCUUUUUUGUAUACUUUUGUUUAAACCACUAAUGUGUGACUUACAUCCACUAAUUUGAGACGGCGGUUCAGAAAAUGCGUCUUUUUGGUUUUGGCACAUUUUUUCUGAGACGGGUUGCUAGUAACCACCAGAGACGGUUGUGUAGCCGUGUGUAAUAUAUGUAUAACUGAGACGGGGGUACGCCCAUUGCAUUUAUAUAAAAAUUGAGACGGUUUAUAAUCGUACCCCGUCGAUGGCUGUUUCAUUAUUGAGACGGUCGUUAGUUUAGCCAGCCGUCUGUGACCCUUAUUACCAGAGACAGUUGUAAAGACGUCUGUGUUAUAUUUACAACUGAGACGGGGUACACCCGUCGUCAUUCUACAGGUCCUGAGACGCUUUAUAAAUGAUACCUGUCGCUGGCUCUUCAUUACUGAGACAGUUGGUAGCUGUCUGUAGCCUAAAUUAUCACAGACGGGUGUUCAUAAAAUCUGUCUCUUAUAACAAAUAAUCUGAGACGGUUGUUUACCCGUCACUAGGUCUGGCAUAUCAGAGACGCAAAUUUUCAGACGCAUGGCCUAUCCGUCUCUAAGAAGCGUUGACAACCGUCUGAAAAGUUUUUUUCUGCAGUAGUGAUAGGGUCUAAGGACAGCCCCAACUGAUGGUGAAGUUGCUACAACGUUGGGCUUAGAUCGACGUGAACAUAUGAGAGAAAGUAGAGAAAAACCAACUAGCGACUGUUUUUUUCAGUAGUCAGAUAAAGGAGUAUAUAUGUUGUGCUUCUCUCUCCUAGCACAGUAACCUCUUACAUCAGCCAUGGUGUUCUCCACCUCUCUCUCUCCUUCUCGCUACAUCUUGGGAGCCCGCAUUGGCAUAGCCAGAUAGGGAAGCAGUUGCAUUGCCGAUAGGGCAAUACAACUCAUAAGUGAGACCCAUAAGAUAACCGUGGCAUCAAAUUGUCAGCAGCUUACUAAGCUACAUUCCUACAUACUAGUAUAAUGUCCGUGCUAACGCUACGGUUUUAUCUCAGGAAUGUACAUAAAAACAUUCAAUGAUUUUAUUUCAUAGUUUAACUUUUACACAAUCAUAUUUAAACAUGUAUACAAUCUAGAAACACUUUUGUAUAAAGGAAGCCUCCGAAUCUCGUGGAGAAGAGCAUUUGUUUAUUUAUUGUAUAUAAAUCAAAUGACUAUUUUGUGAUAAUAAAGAUGAAAUGUAUUCCAAGUGAUUACCAGUCUUUAUUUGAUGAAACUUUUAUAACACAAGUAGGGAAUCUUCUCUUCAUGGCGAGACAGAACCUUUUAGCAAUAGUGUGAAAUGUAUAACCCUUGAAACAUACUUCAUUUAGAAGUGGAUCCAUAAUGUACAUAGUUUUGUUUUGCAUGUUCAUUAUGAAUAAAAUGUAUAGCCCAUCUCGAUAAUAUGGUAGUAGAAUCUAAAAACAAACACAAACUAUAAGUGAUAAAUAAAAUAUAAUAAGCUUUUAAAGGAGUAUACUGAACAUAUCUUACAUUGUUGCAAUCUUUAAUUUUGUACUCCAUAUCAGGCCAGCACUCAAGUACUUUUGCGAGUUUCUUGUUGUCUAGCUUGUCACAACAUCGCGGAUCUCGUCCAAACUGAGUUAUGGACUUUCCAGUUUGCAAAAUUCAAAUUUUUUUUGAUUAAUUAUACAAUUGUAUAUAUUAUAGUAGAGAUUGAUGAAUUAUACAAUUAAGACUUGGAUGAACUUACAGCAAACUGGAGGUCCAUGAAGUGGUAUUUUUGCUUCUUCAACAACAAGGAUUCAUUUGACGCAGCUAUCCUAACAACCAUGUUGAAGCAAUCAUGAUCCAACUCUCUAUUGUCAUCUAAAAUUUCUCUAAUUUUUCUAGGACUUAAAGAAAUUGUGUAUAGUUGUGUGCUUCGAACCCACUCUUUGCUACAAAACAAUGACAAGGAACAAAUUACUUAUUGUAGCAAUUCAAUCAUGGAUAUUGGAAAAUCUAAUUUAGAACAAAAUAAUUCUCAGUAAAAAAUGACUUACUCCAAAGGUUCAGCAUCGACACAUUCUCCUAUACUGACAUAAUAAACUGAAAACAAAACUUCGAUCAGGUUGUUGCAGAGCAAUGUACCUGUAAGCUAGCAACGACGCGAGCGCCGUGUCUGCGCCGGCGUGAUCAUCAUGACGGCGGCAGAGGCGGGCGAUCGUCGUUGCCAGGCACCGCGCGGCUUUGUCGUUACCUCGUCAAAGUGCGUGGGUGUGGGCGUUGACAUGAUACUGAUCGUCGCGGCGGCUGCUCGACAUGUACAAGUUAGAAAAAUAUUUAUAAGUAAGAAUCAUGUAUAAUCACAACCAGAAAACCCUUGAUACCGCCUAAUGCAAAUAAGUUUAAAAAUAAAUUACUUGAGAUUUCAAUUUUAUUUUCUUCCUUGUCAUCCGAAUGUGCAAUUAUGUGUUUACCCACGCCACUUCAUUCGUUGUUGUUUUUGGAUAUCUAUUGGUCAUGUCCUUUGCUUGGAGAUAUUCUGGUUUUGUGACAAUUUACACGAUCAUAACUGAAGCAGUAAAGAGCAAUUAUGAAGAAAUAAUCUAGGGACGGAAGUUCGACUGCAGGAUUUGAGAAGAUGUGGACCAUCACAUACAACAGAAGUGAACCUUAGAAGUGAUAGGUCUACUGUAGUUCACAAUAUCGAGUUGCCUCCAUUAUCCCAAGGGAGAAUUACAAGGUCGUAUGGACACCUUCAAUAGUGAUAAGGGCAAGGGAAAUAGUUCAAAAUCUCUUGCUCUACCAGCAGUUACAUGUGAUUCAGUACCUGAUGAUGCAAAGCUUGAAGGAUACAGAGACCACAAAGACUCCAUGCAUUCAGAGGAGGAACAUACUAAGGUGAGGAUUGUCACUGCUUCAUGCUCAAGAGCUAGUGCAUUAGCUGAGAAAACAACAAAAAGUGUUACACAGCUUGAUUUGAUGCCUGAUUCGCUAAGCCAGACGACCUCUAACAGUUCUGCACAAAUUACCUGAGAAUGUGAAGUCUGAUUUGUUUAGUGCACUUCCAUCAGGAGAUCCUGCAUGCAGCACUUGUAAUGUAUCUGAAAGUAAAUCACUUAAUGUUGCUAGAGCUGAAAAGAGAUCUCCUAAUGAUGGUGGAGCUGAUGAUCCAGAAAAUCCAAGGACUUUUCUCCCACCAGAAAGUUCUCAAAAAUAGAUUGAACAGUUUAGAGUUAGCAGUUGCCUAAUUUUGAAUGUAAUUGCAGAGCAACAUACAGAUUUGAGCUGUCCGAUAGUAGAAUUAUCAGGAUAUUUUUCCCAUCAAAUAAAACAGUGACCAUGUAAUCAUGUUGUGUUACUACUUGCAUCUCUACUUCAUGAUAAAUAAAUCGAACAUGCAUCCAUAUUUAAUUUAAAUAAUUAUACAAGUCUUAUAGAAGCUGUAGACGUGGGAAUAAAUGAAAGACACCUGCGUGCUUGGCGUAUGGAUCCGCAGAACAAGGUGAUCGUCAUGUGCGUGACCGCGGCCUCCCCUCUGCCACGCGUGCGUGAUCGUCGUGGCCGCUGCACGGGCUCGGGUGUGGCUUCCUCCCGGCGAGCAAUCAGAAGGCUCGUCGAGGCUGCUGCUUGGCGCGACGACUGCACGGGCUUAGGCGUGCGUCCUCACGAGGCCGGCUUCCUCCUGCCGCGGUCGCAGGCGAUCGACGCGGCGACUGCGCGGGCUCGGGCGUGCGUCCUGGUGAGGCCGGCUUCGUCCUGGCGCGGGCGCAGGCGAUCGGCGCGGCGGCUACUCGGAGCCAGGCGUGAUCCCGUGAGGCUAGCUUCCUCCUGGCGCGGGCGUAGGCGAUCGGCGCGGCCUCCACAGCUGGGUGAUCGGAGGCCGGUUUUUCUUUUUUUUUCUUCGAUUCGAUGAUGCUUGGAGGUUCGGCGCCGGGUGCGGCCUGAGAAGUCACGGGUGAGAGAAGCCUGGCUUCCCACAUUCAAUCGUGGCCAUUAGAUUUGAUAGAUGUGUUUUUUUAGCCAUUGAUUUUAAUGGUGUAGGACUAUUGUGUACAAUUUCCUGGAUACAUAAUGGUUGGAGACUCCCCGUGGGGGACGAUUUGCUGGGUGGACCAAGUAUAAUUAAAGAAUUCCAUUAUAGUAGAAGAAGAAGAUACACGCGUGAAUGAACUACUGGCGCAGCGUCGUGGCCUCGUGGGGCUAUGGCGCACACCGCAGGGUUAGUGUUGCGCCCGAGCGUUGGCAUUUUUUCUCCCGGGCUGGGUGCUGUCUAUUGGCACAUGCGGAAACUGAAAUCAUUGUCUAAUAAAUCGAUCGUUGCAAAGUUGAAGUGCAUGGCACGCACGGACGACGCACCUCUCCAUGGGUCGACAAAUAGGAUAUAGUACAGCAGCGGCGCAAUUUCCAUGUGGGACGUUGCUUCUCUUGGGUUCGCUACGGUGGCUCAUGAUUAUAGAAGGGGCCGCGCGUGCUCCCAUGCGUUAGUAAUGCGAAAUGGCGGGUUAAUGACUGUACUGUCCAGGCAGCCAUCAUCAGAGGAAAAAAGUGCCUGUAGGGCUUAAUUAUGUGUAGGAAUGAAGUUUCCCAUAGUCACGUAGAACUACUUCUGUUCACACUGUCCGGUAUCAGAUCACAGUCAUCCCCAGUUCCCCUUAAAAAAAAGGUUCCCCUUCACCGUCUUACAAAAAAGUGCGAUGACGUGUACUCGGAGCCAGCUGACUCGGCGGCUAAUCUUUUUUUUUUUCCGACACCCAGUUACGGAUGCAACGUUCAUAAACACAAGCGCACAUUUACUCCGAAAAACCGAGUUGGACCAACAAAUCUCGAGAUUGACGAAGUCUCCACAUGUGCCUCGCUGUCGACAGGCACAUCGCCUACCAGUAAAAGUAUAACGCCAUUACAUAAUGUAAAUAAAUUCAGAAAAAUAUGAUCACCCAUAUCAUCGGGAACUUAAAACCGAAUAGGAAGGUUCCACCAAAAAAAACAAACCCAAACGAGCUAAUAAUUUGCCGGCGGCCAAUCUACACCCGACUCCCGACCGGAUUAACAAUAACAGCUGCUUGUCUCUCAAGCAAGCGCGAUCUCGGCAAAUCCCACGGACCCAGGCAAUUUCCCAAAAUCAUGUGUAAACACCCAGGAAAAGUAACAAGAACUCGCCACACGCACACGCACACGCACACGCACACGGAACGCAGACGGAACCCAAGCGGCAAGAAACGAACCCCGCGUCCGCGUGCAUCACGACUGACGUGUAGCGCAUCACGACUGACGACGACGUGCAUCGCCGGAAGGAAGGCUCCCAGCGCAGACGGGCGCCGCGAGGCGACGCAGAGCAGGCAGAGAGCCCCGCCCUUCCAGAAGGUCGCCGCCUCGCCUCCUCCCUCCCGCUACCCACCCGGUUUGCCCCUAUAUAAACGCCGCUCCCAUCUCGCUAACCGACUAGCAGUAGCAGUUGCUUCCCACCCUUUCCGGCCUCUCCAUCCCCACGCCGACCGCACCACCCGACCCGAUCGCACGCACACAAACACAAACCGAGCAGCAGAAACAUGCGAGACAUGGAGGACAGAUCGGUCGUCAGCCGCCGCCAUGAACCCACCACCGUCGCCAGGACGGCGGACGACGACGACGACGACGUGGCUUCCGGCGACGAGGACUCCGACUCGGACGCCGAGUUCGAGUUCCCCUUCGUGAGCCGGGAGUCCGAGGCGGCGGCCGACGAGCUCUUCGCGGGCGGCCGCAUCCGGGCCUUCUACCCGGUGUUCGGCCGAGUCCUGGACGACGAGGCGCCAGCCCCAGCGCCGAGGUCGCCGCUAGGGCGGCUGUUCCAGCUGGAGCAGGCGCGGACCUCGUCCGUCGCGUCCACGUCCUCCUCCUCCUCCUCCUCGACGGCGGGCGCAGGCGCGGCGGGCCUCGACGGCGCGUCCCCGGACAGCUACUGCCUCUGGACGCCCGGGUCGGCGUCGGCGGCGUCCUCGCCCUCGCGGUCGCCGCGGAAGAGCGGGUCCACGGGCUCCAUCCCGCGGUGGCGCCGCAUCGGGGAGCUCGUCGUCGGGCGCAGCCACAGCGACGGGAAAGAGAAGUUCCUCUUCCUCUCCGCGCCGCCGUCCCCGGCCAGGGACAGGGAGAGGGAGCACUCCUCCCCCGCCUCCAAGUCCAAGUCCAAGCCAAAGCAGCCUCAGCCGAAAGGAAGUAAAACCGCCGCCGCCGCCGCCGCCACCGAGCUCGACACGGUCGCCGCGGGGCGCCGGGUGUCCUACGGUGGCGCCAACGCCAAGGCCUCCACCGGAGGUGCGCGGCGCACGUUCCUGCCGUACCGGCAGGACCUCGUGGGGCUGUUCGCCAACGUGCGCGGGCUCAGCCGGAGCCACCACCCGUUCUGAAGCGGAUCCGGUGAGCCACGACGCGCCGUGGAAGCGGACCCGUUCCAAGCAGUGCCGACUUCAAGUUUGAAAUCGGGAUUUGAAAUUUCAGACGUUUUGACUUGGAGAUCCCCUGCAAAGAUGCUCUGUGAAGAUUACUACUGUUAUUAGUAUUACCAAUACGUGUGGGAUCAAAGCAAUUACGCAAGUGAAAAAGACAAGGUGUGAAGUCAGAGAAAAACAGGGGAAAUGUGAGGCCUCCAUUUCAGGAUUCGGCUCGGAAUCGUGGUCUCGAGUCGGUGGCUAACCACCUGCCUGCCCUGCGAUUUGUCAAGGUGGUCUAGGCGGGUACACAUAUACGCACAUGUUGGUGUUGGACAAGAAGUUUACAUUCUGUAUAUGCUGGUAUAUAUAGUAGCUUUGUACAUAUACAUACAAUCUAUAAUGUAUAGAGUAGUUAGAAGUAGGUGGGUUUGUUUGCGAGGAAUUUGGGUUUCCUUGUUUGCAAUCUGCAGUUUUGUGUUGUCGCAUCUCUAAUCUAAUUUUUUACUUAAUUAGCAAGUUUCUGUUGUGCGGUCUCCAAUCUUAUAAAUAAUAUGACGUUUUAAUUAUUAGGAUAUACAGCCACGUAAAGUCUUCUGGGCUGGAGUCAGUAACGUGGAGAACCUCAUGCUCAUCUAAUCUAUCUCUAGCCACAGGCCACCAAUUGUGGAUUACAAAUCUCAACGUGAUCCAACUGGAAGCAAGAAUGUUUAAGUUUUGGCCAGUGUUUGAUGCAUGAGUACGAGAUAGCAUUUCAGUUCUCAACUUUCAGUUCUCAACUUGAUAAUCUGGCAUUUCAACUUUGUUUCCGCGUGAUCCUAGCUGCAAAGCUUGAGUGAGGGUCCAUCAUGAGAUUUAGAUUGAAAAAAAAAAUUAGAUUUAGAUUGACUUAAAUUUUCUAAAGUUUGACAGAAAACAUUAUUAAUAUUUAUAACUUCAAUUAGGUAUACUAUGAAAAAAUAUUUUAUAAUUAAUUUAAGUGUGUUUGUUCGGUAUUGUAAAGGCGCUCUAUAUGUUCCAAAUCAUAAGAUAUUUUAGUUUUUCUCUAGAUUCAUAUAGCUUUUACAAUAUGGGUGUAUACACCAGGUAUUCCUGGUAUUCCCAGGAAUAUCCAACUUUCUUAUGCACUAAGUAUAUAUAUAUAUAUAUAUAUAUAUAUAUAUAUAUAUAUAUAUAUAUAUAUAUAUAUAUAUAUAUAUAUAUUAGCAUUUCUAUAUUUAGCAAAUAAAAUUACUCUCUUAUUUUUUUAAUCUAUUCUUGUAUUUAUUUUUCGACACAUGUUCUAUGUUAGCUCAAUUACCAAAAUUAUUCUAUUUUGUUGUUUCUGCAAAUGAGAAUUUAAUUAUUUAUCUUUAGACCAUGUACAUAUUGACUCAUGCCACCAAAUAUUAGUACAAAUCAUAUCUUAUUUCUAAACUCUUUUCCAAGAUAAGGCCUUGUUUAGUCAUCCCCAAAACCACAAACUUUUUAAGAUUUCUCGUCACAUCAAAUCUUGCAGUACAUGCAUAGAGCAUUAAAUAUAGAUGAAAAUAAAAACUAAUUGCACAGUUUACUUGUAAAUUGCGAAAGGAAUCUUUUAAGCCUAGUUACUCCAUGAUUGGACAAUGUUUGUCAAACAAAAACAAAAGUGCUACAGUGUUAAAAUUCAAAAACUUUUUCGGUCUAAACAAGGGAAUAUGCACAUGGCAGCAUGUAUAAUAAAAGUAUUUUUUUCAUGUGAGUGAACGAGGCAUGAGUGGGAGGCAAUUCCAUAAUCCUCGUUCUUAAAUCUCUAACCCUAGCCGAGCAGAUAUGACGUGGUGGCGGCACUGCUGGUUCCCAGUGUCCUAAGCUUCUGGCAGCGCAGGACAUACAGCGUGGGCAUGGCCUCUAUCUUUAUACUAUGCCUACAAGGCGACUAGAGAGGGUGCACGUCGGUCAUGAGGCAGCUAGAUGAUGACUCACCAGAUACUAGCAACGGAAUACCCAAAAUUUAAAUCCUGGCUCCACCACUGUUUUACAAUGUAUUAGGUAUAUAUUAUGUCUAAAUACAUAUUAGAAGCAAUGCAUUUAGAUAAAGGUCAAAACUUCUUAUAAUCCUAGAACAUAGAAAAUAGUACCUUUUAUAUAUUUUCAAUGGAAAUUUAAAACUAAUUGACUUCAGGCAAACAAAAACGCAGGUCGUUAUUUUUUUUUUCCUUUUGAAUCGGGAGGGAGUGUAUGACACGUUGAUACAGCAUCCCAGAGCCCAGGUAGACACAUCAGGCCUUGUUCAUUUCUCCAGGAAUGAAGGUCUAGAAUAAUUCCUAGCUGAAUUCACAAAUUUGUAUAACCAACGGGGCCUCAAGCAUUUCGCCGGCACAGCGAAGCCACCACCACGCAUCCGGUGGCUGCGAAUUCCUCGCAACCGAAGCCUAGUACGGUCGCAACAACGAGCCGAACGCUGAAGCGUACUCCUACUAUGCAAGAUUUGGAAAACACACGAUGUGGCCAUGUUCGACUAAGGCCUUGUUUAGUUCCGAAAAAAAUCGAAUUUCGGUACUGUAGUAUUUUCGUUUUUAUUUAACAAAUAUUAUUCAAUCAUACACUAACUAGGUUCAAAAGAUUUAUUUUAUGAUUUAUAGAUAAACUGUGUAAUUAGUUUUUAUUUUCGUCUAUAUCUAAUACUUCAUACAUGUGCUCCAAGAUUUGAUAUGACAUGGAAUCUUGAAAAAUUUUUGUUUUUAGGAUGAACUAAACAAUGCCUAAUUAACGCCCCAACUGCCCACGCCCGUGAUUCUCGGCUCAUCGAUCGCAGGCAUCCCCCCAUCCCUCUUGACCCGUUGACCGCCAGCCCGGCCGCAGACCGCCAAGUUGCAAAUUGCAAACUUGGCCUGAGGGAAGACCGACUGGAAGAGUGUCAAUGCUUUUUGCCGGUGCAGCGCCACUUGCAAUUUGCAAACAAAGUAGUACGGAGUACUACCAUUAGUAUUUAAUCACCCCACUAGUCAGACACGACCGGCUCGUACAAGUGGUUUCUGGAACCUUAGCUUAACUGCGUGCAUGCUGGCUUUUUGCAGAUGUGCGCACGUACGUACUGUAGACGUUGGACUUGGACCGGUCAGCAGCUUACGCUACCACUCUUCUUCCCUAUCCAUCUGCAGAGCAGACCCUGUCCCCGGGUCUGUACAUGUUUCCUCUAGUGUCAGAUACAGGUUAAUUAGGUCUGUGGCUAGGUUUACGUUGUAGCUGCACGCUGGUAGGAACUCCAAAAUGACGGAAAGGGCCGGCCGGGCGCGCGCGGUUUACAAGUCGAAUCAAAAUAGUACUCCGUAGAAAAAAGAGCUGCACCAGAUUUACCAGAACUUGUCAACAGAGGGAACAGGAGGAUUUUACACGAGAGAUCGGGUAUAGUGUGACAGAAAGCACCGGCGAGUGUAACGCCUUUUCUCGCGCGCGCGCGUACGUCAGACUCAUGUCGCGGAUGGAUGGAUUCAACGGCGGAGACCUGUGCACUGUGCUCCGUCCGACCUCCCAUCCACGCGUUCGCACAGUGCCGAUCGACCCGAGUCGUCUCCUGCUUUUACACCGGGCACGGGCAGGCAGCAACACGUUAAUUAGAGAGUUGAUAGGCCUCUCGUCGUGCCAGUUAGUUCCCUUCUGGUGCGGUAACUUGCUCAUCAAGCAGGCAGCACACACGCACGUAGUACUCCGACUUGCUGCCAUGUAGGACUAAAUAAAUGUGAGGGUUUUGUUCAGCUUUCAGUCACACCUAACAGACAGACAGACAGCCAAUUUCUUUCUGGCGAUGUAGACGUGAGAGAUUAGUUUUUGCGAGUUGUAGCAUAGCAUAUCUGAGCGACAUAAUAAGAGUCAGAGUCAGCCCUUAUUGUUUUAUUAACCUCUGAAUCGGAGUCGGAGACACACAGCUAGUGGGGACGAUCGAGCAACACGGUCGUUGGGAGCAAUCAACUAAACAAAUGCAGGGGGAGUGAGCAUUCGAUUCCCCACAUCUUGACCCGUCUGAUGAUGAUCUGUGGAAGUGGGUUGGAGAAAGAGCAUCGUUUCACGGUUUCACCUACUACUUCCUACUGCGAUUUGUAAUUUUUGAGGAAUAGAUCGAACGGCACACACAUCCUUCAACUUGUUACUUGUCCUCAACUGCGUAGCAGACGUGCGUAAAUCCUGAACAUCGGUUGUUGGUGAAGGAGCAUUUGGUGGGAAACUGCCGGACAAGAAGUGACCGUGCUGAAUUUUUCAACUUCUCGAUGUUACGGAGUACUAAAUCGUUUAUGCCUUGAGGGUUAGCGUUUCUCAUGAACAUUUGAACUGUACGUAAAAGUACUCGAGCACACCAUGUCACAUCAACACAAGUUGAGCUCUUUUUUUAAUAUAAUAAAGAGAAGGUAGGUAGAGGAAACAGAAGAACGGAUGAGUAGAGACUCAAAAGGAAACAAGCUUAGAGCAACCUCAAUAUAUAUGGUUGAGUAGCCCAUAUAAACAGCUUUUGUGUCAGCAGUCCAUAACUAUUUUUUGUGUUACAAUGUUGAAGGCUGAAUGGACUAAAAGUGUGGGCUCAUUGACACAUAAAAAAAAUCAUCAAAAGCCCAACCAGCUACCUCUCCAUCCUUCCCCUCUCUCUUUCUAGCGAAGCAGAUCGGACAUUGGAGGCAUCGCGGCACCCGCGGAUGGGCGGUUCCGCGGCCUCGACGCACACAGAAGCUCACGACCAUGGCCUCCGGCUGGCCGUUGACCAGGACCGCACUGGAUCUGCGUCGCUAGCACUGUGGUCGCCAGAAGAAACGAUGCCGGUGACUUGGGGACCACCUCCAGCCAGGGAUGGUGUGCUCCGCCGCAGCCUCACGAGUGCGCGGGGCGGGGCAGUGACCUUGCCGGCGCGUGGAAGCUCGGUGGCGCCAUGGCGGCCUCACGCAGAUCCACCGUCCUCCGACUCCCAAGGCGCAAGGACAUCCUUCGCCAUCAGUGCGAGAGGCAAGAGAGAGAGCCGAUAGAGAGGAUAAUUAAUUUUUUAUUUCUUAUGGGUAGUCCAUAGCACUAUGGAUACCUUUAGCUAUGGACUACUCUAUAGACUACUUGUACAAUGUUUCAGGUAACUGAUAGAUAAUAUUUUAAUGGCUAUGGACUACUUCUCUGCAACAUUGUGGUUGCUCUUAGGCCUGGUUUGUUUUGGCCUGGAACCGCACAAAAUGCGGCCUAUUCUGCCCAAACCAAUUUGGCCUGACUCCAAGUCAGGUCAGAUUAGAAAUGACCAUUCAGUUAGAUACGGCUCGGAAUGAAAACUGGUCGAUCCGGACUUCUUUUUUUCCCUUCUAUGGCCAGAAUGGAAACGGGUCAUGAUAUGUCUAGAAUAGAAACGGGCAGAACCAGUAGGAACCACUUGAUUCGGGCCAGGAAUAAGCAGACCCGUUUUUAACCAAAGACAACCGAAGAAGGCCUUAAGUAGCUGAAAAGUAAGAAAAGGUAGAGACCAAGGGAAACAAAGACCAAGCCCAGAUGCAGAGUAGUAGAAAAUAAGACCAGUAGGGAAUAGGGACGAUGUUACAACACAUUAAAACAGACAACACAAGAAACAGAGAGAAAGUGACAUUCUUGUUCCAUUUUUAAGUUGAACUAUAAGCUUUCCUUUCCUGGGCCUCCACUGGGCUACUACCAAAUGAGCGGUGGGGGUUGGGGGGAGGGGGGGGGUUGUACUUUGAAUGUAGAAACUAUCAUAGUUUCUAUAGAUAUUAAUUACAGUGUCAACUAAGCAUUUUGCUGAUGUGGCAAGAUAGUUAUUGAAGAGAGAAAGCAAAAAUCAUAGAAACCGGAUCUAAGUUAGAAACCAUGUCUACACGAGAUUCAAGACAUGAAGUGAUAUGAUUGGUUGAGAAUGGAGAGAGAAUGAAUGUGAUUGGAUAAAAAAAAUUAUUCUAUAGAAAUUAUCCAUUGGGACCAUAGUUUCUAUAUAUAGUGUCUAUAAAAAUUAAAAGAUAUAGAAACUACAUGUAAUUUCUAGCAUUGGGAGUGCCCUUGUACUGUACUCCUAUAUAUACAGUACACACAACCGCCAUAUCUUGAAGUACUCCCUCUGUUUUUAUUUACAUGUUACUUGGAUAAUUAACUAAGUCAAACGGUUGAAUCUUUGAUCAUUUAAGAAACUUAUAUAAAUUUAUGACAUAAGAUUUAUGUUUUUAGAAUUACUAGUAGAAAUACUUUCAUAAUCUAUAAUUCAUAUGUUGUGAAACUAUAAGAGUAUUUUUUUGAAACAGAUGGUCAAAGAUACAAAUGUGACAUGGAAUAAAAAAAACGGAGAGAGUAAACGAGAAGUCACAAUAGUCAUCUGUACGUUGUUGUCAGCUACAUCCCAGAAUUAACAAUGCUCCUUGCUCUCAAAAUUAAAUCCAUCUCAAAAUAAAAUCCAUAAAUACUCGAAUGGCAUUUGCUUUUCCCUUGGCUUGCGUUGCCGUACGUAGUAAUCAUGUGCUGUCUAGACCUGGAGACAAAAAGGAAAAUAUCAUGUGUUUAUGAUGUCGCCAAAAUGAGCACAUCCUGGCAGCAUGUCAAGGCUCAAGUGUGUCAACCCUAGCUUGCACGUACUUGUACGUCGUCGUUCGUUCUCGUUCCGUCCACCGGCCGCGGCCGGGCAGCAUAUGGCAUUAUGGCCCGUACGCAGGUUACUCUUCAGGUGGAGGAGCUUCUUUCAGCGCUGCGGCGGGCGGCGCCGUGCAAGCCUACCGGCAUCGGCAUCGGCAUCGGCAUCGGCAUAAUUGGAGUUCUAUCGGCAGCGUGGGGCAUUAUUGGAGAGUUGGAGCAGCCACACGCAUAGGCAAAACUUGGCCCCGGACCGGAGUCCCCUGCAAGAAACUAACGGGGGGGCAUGGACAAAGGUAAGUUAUUUAUGCAUCGCUGAUCGCUCCUAUCCGUGUGUUCAUUAAUUCACUGCUUUCUGACAGCUCUAGCAAUGGCACACAAAGCAUUAUCUAUGAUCAUGUUUUAUGUAUGUAGUCUAUAAAUUGGUGAAUAUUUAUUGAUCUAUAUUAGUCCCAGUAGUUUCUGCUCAUUUCGGUUUACAUCCCCAGCUAAUUAAGCUCCAUUCUUGUGUCCGUCAUCGAGGUAAUUCCUUCAGCACUUGAGCACUUGUUCAGUUGUUUGAAGAUUUUCGAACGACAUUUUUGAAACUCAAUUAUGAAAGUUGGAGUUAAUUUAUUUGAAGCAAACGAUAUUUGACAGCAACCUUUACCAAGUACCCACCCGUGACCCACUGGGUCUGCGCAUAAUAUGCCCAUCUACUGCCAAAAUGUGGCCGCAUUCGCUGCAGAGAGCAAUCCUGCACGCACAUGAUGAUUUAUUUAUUAUGAUCUAGCAGAUGGCCAGAUGCUGUAGGAAAGUUGCGCACAGGCUAAGGGCCUGGCCCAUAUCAGGUACUCCAAGGCUUUGGACGUUGCCCAACCAGCUCAUGGGCUGAAUUGUAACACGUUCGGACACACAUGUUCCUCCUCACUCGAAAGCAUAUGAAUUCUGAACCAGAGACUCUAGCAGCCAGCAUUUCGCCGACGUGUCUCAGCUCUCAACCUCCAGUCCAGCACGUACGUGGCUGCCUUGCCAGUUGCCACUGGGCACGGGCCCACUGCAACCAGGACCAUGCGUUAAUUAAAUGUGACAGCACCAAUUAACCACCGAACCAUCCGUCCCGGUGAUCAAUAAACGGCAGCCACAUCUUGCACCGACCCUGACCCUGAUGACUGGUGGCCACAAUAUAGAUAGAUGAUAUCUCUUCGGGGCCAAGAAAAGCUCCAAUUGCACACAGAGAUGUCAAUUUCUUCGGGAACGAGAAUGAGAUAGUAAUUAGAUCAAUUUUAUCCUCACGAAGGACUUAAAGAUAGCCCCAUCAGGUAUGACGAGGAUGGGAGCCAUUUCCCGUCCCCAUUUCCCGCGGGGAUCAAACUCCCCAAAAUCACAGCAGCUUACCGAAGUUCCCAACCCAUUAUAACAUCUGAUCACUGUGGAAAGAGCGUUGUAGAAGAACUUUUGACAACAGAACGUAAACAACCGCACUCAUCACAAGUUAGCAAGCUUAAUUCAAUAAGACAUUCUACUGUAUAGAGCGAUAUCAUGUAGAUAACUAAUCUGUAUGUAAAGGCAAAGUGCUGACUGCAAUUGUGGUGCAGUUUUUUCCAUCGCCAUUUUUCCUCUUUUUUUUUUCUGUUUUUCUGGGAACUUUUAAACGCCGUGUAAAUUUCGUUGUAGCCUUCUCCUCCCCCUCCCCCCCCCUUUUUUUUUCUCAAGUGUUGUUGUAGCCUUUUUCACAUGCAAAAGCCAAAAGGCAGAGAGCACCUGCUGUUUUCCUGCUAAAGAAAAAGAAACAGCCGAUCACUAGCAAGCCCACAGUCACUAGCCCACGGCCCACCAACUGUAACGGUAGGCGUCCCUGCCUGCCAAGUCAUAUAGUUUCUAUACUCAUUAAAUUUUAUGGUCCUAAUGGAUAGUUUCUAUAGAAUAUUUUUAUAUCCAAUCACAUUCAUUCUCUCUUUAUUCUUAGCCAAUCAUAUCACUUCAUGUCUUGGAUUUUGUGUAGACAUAGUUUCUAAUUUAGACCCAGUUUCUAUGAUUUUUACUCUCUCUCUUCAAUAACUACAUUGACACUUGAGCAAAAUGCUUAGGUGGCACUACAAUUAAUGUCUAUAGAAAUUAUGAUAGUUUCUGCAUUGGGAGUGUUCUAAUCCCGCCGCCGGCCGCCGCACACCGCACAGGGAGACCGGAGAAGGAAGGAUGAGGGGCAACGCAACGGUGAUGAUGCACAGAGGAUUCAGAUUCGCGUGCCGCUGGCGACAGCGGGAUGACACGCACGGCGAACGGAUGGAUUCGAUCGACUGUCAGCCAUUUAUCAUAAUAAAUUAGAGAAUAGUACCUUCUCUCGUGACUUAUCAGCCAGAAAUGUACAUUCGUGCUUCUUCAUUUUCUUACCAUCAAUUCACGCGCAGUAGAGUAAUUCAAGCUAGCCCGUCUCUCUCAUAGCCAAGAACAACAGUCACUAGCUUGAUUCCGCCGCUCUUGUCUCGGCACUCCGGCAAGCAAACAACUGACAGCAAAGCUCCCUCGUUUUCUUCUGCCUGCGUUCUUCUUCCAAGUCUCCAUCUCUCGUGCCACCGCGCACAACGGUCCAAACGGCUCCCUCGCCGCAGCAGCAUCGCGUCCACACAAACUGCACAUCCACCAGAUACGGCGGUGGUGAUCCGAUCCAGCGUCGUUUCUCGACGACGACGCCGCCGCGCGUUUCUGCACCCACGCACCCCGACCCGGCCGCGCGCGCGCCUGACCGCCCGUGUGGUCCAGGGGACGCCGAUCGGCGCGCGGCCGUCGGCCACACGGUGCCCGGCGCGCGUUAUCCUGGGUGCCGCGCGCGGCGAGGGAAUCGAAGCGAGUGGCGCGCUGGCGGAUGAGGCGGCGAGUGGCCCGGAUGCACCGGCGCAGGCGAGCCGCACGCCGCCGCCCGCCGCGGCGCUCGCGCGCGGACCGCUGCCGCCUGCCGCCACACAAUGCGAGCGCGCGCGCACACACACACACACCACCCGGGCGGGGGGGCUGUAGUAGUAACGGCCUUGUCUUGUCGGCACGCGCGCGUCCGUGUGUAUAAGGAGGCAGGCCCGCAGCACAGGGGGCAAGUGGCACUCGCGCACACAGCACAAUUGAUGUCCGCCUUCCCCGUCCGCGGCUCCACGUCCAGCAGCAGCAUCGUCGCCAGCCUCGGCAGCAGCCGCGCCCCCGCCCCCGCGCCGUCCUCCGUCCGCCGGCGCCCCAGCCUCAUCAGGAACGCCCCCGUCGUCGCCGUCCCCGCCACCCUCGUGGUACGUACGGAGUACAUGCAUACACCAAUGCGUGCAUGGCUCACUGCACCACUGAGCGCAUGCAUGCAUGUCGUCGUCGUCGCUUCUGCUAUCUGUCCACUCACUCGCUUCAUCUAGCUCUCGGCGUCUCCACGAAAUGCUGCACCAUGCAAAAGUGCUUGCUCCAAUUACACCUAGGAGGUUGGUAGUAUGGACCAUGCAUGCAGGAUAUUAAUUCUAGAAAAAACCAAACAAAAUCCGAGUCCAACGCAAGGAUUAUUUCAACCAAAAGUAAUAAUGCACCUCGCCACGUCUAUAUAGUUUUGCUGCUUCGUUGCGCUCCUCAAUCAUCAAUAGGGAAAAAAAAAAAGUGCGUGCCAGCCACGUAUAGUAUGUCCUCCAUAAGAGUAUGGUACGGUGGAGGGGCACCGCACCCUUCCGGGUCUACCAAGAGCUACUAACGCCAGGUCUGCAAAUGCGGCAUACCAUGCAUGUAUAUAUAUAGUAUAAUCUCAUGCAUGUUCUCCACUUAUUUUGGACCAAAAAUCAUGGAAUACUAUACCACUUCCGCCCAUCUUGAAAAGAUGUCAUUCUUCUUAACUCUAACUAUCAUUUAUCACAUCAAAAUGGAUAUGCUAUUAAAAUAUACUUCAUGGUGAAUCUGAUUAUGUAGUAUAAACUUUGGUAUUCUUUUAUAUCCAAUUUGUCAAAUUUAAAUCACUUUCCCAUCAUCUAGUAGCCAGCUAUGCAAGUCAACCAUCUCCAAUAGAAUAUUCCGGAAGGGAGGUGUUUCCAAAGAGAUCGAUGGCCAAUGAUAGUGCUAGUUUGAAGAAGGCAACCACUAGAUGCUUGCUUUCAAUAUAACAGAAUUUCCACAAAAAAGUCUCGAGUGUGGAAAGAAGAAAAAAGCUCCAAGUACACUUGUUUAGUGAUAUCGCGAGCGUAUAAAAAAAUAAUAUAGGGCUGGCUUUUCCCUAAAGCGAUAAGACCAGUACAUGAUAGCUACAGUUAGCUAGGAAGAUGUCGAAGUCUCGAAGAGCUAAUCCGCGCGCGUCUUUUGGCUUUUGAGUUCCGUUUGAUCCAUGGCACAUCCAGGUAGAGGUAUAGUUCAAUAACCGACCAUCAAUAAAGCGCUACUAGUGCCCAUCAACGUCAAUUUACUUUUUUUUAUAACGCCCAUAAUUUCCUGGUUUGCUUUAAUUUGGUCACUGUUGGGUCUUUUAGGCUAGCAGGAGAAAAAAACUUCUUUUUCUUUGUUUUGGAGGAACAAAAUUUUUGCAGCAUAUUGAAUCAUCAGGGACACGAGUUAAUUAACGGUUUUUCUGUAGUAAACUUUGGUAGUGAUAAUCCGCAAACUUGUGAGGCUAUAGCAGUAUGUACGAGGAGCGAGGCCAGAUUUUCGUUGCGCGACGCGACAUCUGACACUGAUCUGAUGCGCGCAAGCAUGACACCGACCGCAGUACCGGACCACGGCGCUCUGUGGUACAGACUGUACAGUACAGUACAGUACAAAACCCGUAGCUGCCAUCAGAUAACGCACUAGAUAAUUAGAUGUGCGGAAAAGGGAAGAAAUAGUAAAAGGAGCUAGCACAUCAUUAAAUCGAAAUAAGAAACAAAUACUGUACUCCAAAAGGGUCGUUCCGGCAUCCAUCGAUGGUUCAAGUAGCAGCAACCAUACUGUACAUGUAUAUUCAUAUUUAUAUAUAGGAGUGCAUGAUUAGCCGCGCGCGGUUCCUCAUUAGCACACCAACAUGAUGGGGUAAGCAACAAAUUAAGCACGGCAGCGAAUGCCCGGAUUAGGAACGCACAUCAGGGAAUUGAACAGCAAGCUUUCGUCUUGGCUGGCAUGAUGAUUUGAUCAGCCCGCUCCAAUAAUUUAGGAAGAGAAGUGGCACGAUCCUGACGGUUGGUAUGGGUGUGAAGGGACUAAUUUAAGCGCGCCGCGAUAAGCAAGAUUCCCAGGGCCGUGUGCCAUCGCCUGUUGGCGUCCGAUCCGAAGCUGGCAGAAUUUGCUACUAGUCGACAGUCCAGACUCCAGAGGGCGGACCGCACGUAGCCAGCCUAUCUAUACUAGUGCAGAUCUGAAUGAUCAGCGUGCCAGCGUCCUUGGAUCUGGGAACCGAUCGAAACCCCUGCGAGGGACCUCCUUUUCUUCGGUCCAGUUGCAGAAUUCGUUAAUCUUGUCUGGGAACGAGAACCCUCUUGGGGAAAUACUAACGUUUUCUUGCGGUGUCGGGAGGAGCUAGCUAGGGAGCAAAAGGGAAGGAUCGCGCUCGCGCAGAUAGAUGGCCACUUGUUUGUUUGUGCUUGGUGUCCCGUACGGUACCCACUGCACCGCACAGAUCGUCAGAAGAUUGCUGCCUCCCAGUCUCGGCCUCAAACGAUUACGAGUACGGAGUACAUGCAUAUAGUACCACCUCCGUUUAAUUUAUGGCCCAACAUUACACCUGGUGGGUUGGUAUGCCAAUGAACGUCAGCACUCCUGAUUGUUGCAUAUAAUCCACUAACUAAAUAGACUUAAAAUAAAAGUUUAGCACGAGCGUUCAUCCAAUUCAUAAAAAAGAAAAGAAAAACUAGGAUGGCGACCUCACAUUGUAUAUGCGUCGUCCACAAAAGCCGCUCUCAGCCGUUACCGAUUUUUUCUGAACGCGCGCGUUGCAUGGUGCCUUUUUCUCUUCACUGACACAAUUGCACACGUCAUGUUGCUAGUAAGCGGGAGGACGAGCAGCUCAUCAAAAGUCAAACGAGAGAGAAAGGGAGAGAGGGCCACACCACAUCCAUUGAUACGGGAGGAGAGACGAAAGAAAACACAAGGAGAUGAGCAGUUGCCUUUGCCUCCCUAAAAAGAAGGAGGGCCAGGGGGCGGCAGCGAAGCCGUCCAUAGAUUCAACCACCUCGACAGUCGUUCAGAACCCGAAGCCUACCCAACCUCCACCUCCUCCCUCCAAGGUCCGUCCUCUCCUUCUCCUCCUUCCUCAUCUCCUCCCGCACCCUCCACACCAUCCUCCAAUCAGCACACACAACAAAUCUCCUCAUCCAUUCCUCUAUUUUCUUUUUCACCAUUGGCAUCAGUAGCCACUACAUGCAACUUCCACUUUCUCUCUACGUAGUUAUUGUGUUUGUGCAAAGAAAGAUCCAUGUUCCUUUUUUUUUAAAAAAAAAUCACCUUUGUGCAUUCUUUUCGUGUGUUCAGUGGGCCGGCAAGGAGGGCAAAAUUGCAUCAUGCCCCCUCCUCUCUCUCUCUCUCUCUCUACCCCUUAUGCUGCAUCACAAUCACGAGCAUGCAAGUCAGUCUUUCUGAGGAUGGCGAACUCUGACCGAUCGACGAUGUUUCUCUGUUGAUACAUAAUGCAGGGCAUGGACGCCGUCGAGCGCUUGAAGGUCGGGUUCCAGAAGUUCAAGACCGAGGUCUAUGAGUAAGUCAUUCUGAGCUGUUUUCUGCACAGCACCCGCGUCUGAUUUAAUCGUUUCAGUUUCAGCCUCAUGGUGCUUGAUUUCUUUUGUGAAUUCUGCGAGCUCCAACUGAUCCCGUGCCCCCUUUGAUUUAUUUUUUCGCAGCAAAAAGCCAGAGCUGUUCGAGCCUCUCAAGGCUGGCCAGGCCCCCAAGGUAUGUGCUACUACCAUACUGCUUUCUCUUCCCGGCUCCCUUGUACGUUUUUUUUUUUUUGUCUCUAGCUAGCCACUCGCAACCCCUGCUGCACUAUUCAUCAUCCACCCUGACAUGUCCCUGGGUGCGCAGCGCAGGCAGCAUUAUUUUCGCCGGCCAGUAACGAGGUCAAAGCUGCACUAGACAAAAGCAAACGGAUUGUCCUAUAAUUGCACGGCUUGUCGGCAUUAGCGGCCAAUUGGCUAGCAGUACGUAGUCUUGUUGGAUAAUAACUAGUCCUGUAAUUGUGUUUGUACAAUUCUGCUCCAUGCAUGGGUCCCGUCGAGGCCAUGGCGCAAAGAAAAUGGUGUAGUGGGAUGCAUGCAUAAUCCUUCGCAGCUCCCACCCGGCCGGCCGCCACUGCGCGCGGAACACUAACGACAUGCGCGCUGCCAGUGCAUCCCCAUGUGCAAAGCCAUACGCCCUGCAUGCAUGCUAGGUGGUGAUUUGCAUUUGGUUGGUAAAUUAUUGAGAUGCCGCCGUCCCUCCGUAUAUAGGCUCACUUUGCAGAUGGCGGAUAUAGUUAUGUUAUUAUAUUGAUUUUUCCUUGAGUUUCCUAGUAGUAUAACGUGGUACCAGAAUCUUGCAAGUACACAGUUUAUUGUUUUUUAUGGGAGUUUUGAGCUGGCAUCGAUCGAUCCCAUGCGCCUAAUUUUAUGCAUUCAUGCAUGAUGAUGUAACUAGCUGGGGUUCUACUAGUUUUCUUUACCCAUAAAAGUUCGGUUACUAGUGGUCAAAUAUUCAUUGUAGUAAAGGAGCGAAGAUAAAACAUACAUUAAUUUGAACUACUCCUAUAGUAUGAUGGUCAAUUCCACCUUCUAGCCGUGUUGAAUUCUUUUUUGAACUGUACGUAAUGGUCACUUCCAUCAUUACUACAUUUGAACGCCCAUUUCAGAUGUCUCAUCAUUUUGAUUUUUGUUUGACACUCACAUACACAACACAAAGAGACGUGAACCCCAAGUGUAGGUGUGUAUUAGCGUUCAUCAUUCCAUGCCUAAUGUGUGUGUGGUCCACCCAUGAUUGAGCACAGGCCCCCCACCACUGCUGUGAUACAUUAUUGCUGAAACUAUCGUCGACCGACCGGUGCUGUACCUGUACGUCCUGUGGUUGUGAAGCACUGGUCCGUCGCUCACCGCACGCACGGGAUUCUUUCUUCAUCGUGACUUAUGCCUUGUUCAAGUUCCCACCGAAAUCCAAAAUUUUUUCAAGAUUCCCUGUCACAUCGAAUCUUACGGCACAUGCAUGAAGCAUUAGAUAUAGACGAAAACAAAAACUAAUUACAUAGUUUGCCUGUAAAUCACGAGAUGAAUCUUUUAAGCCUAGUUAGUCCAUGAAUAGAUAAUAUUUGUCAAAUAAAAACUAAUAGUUGGAUUGAACUGUCUUCUCUCCUGUCCUCUCACACACCCCUUGCAAAAGCAGUUAGGCGCAUAAAUGUUGGGCAGGGCCAGGUGGCCAGCUUUAGCAUUCGCAUCCUCGAGGAAUAUAUGCUCUACUACUCCACGUCUACAGUACAGAUGUCUCAAAGUUAGUGGAAGGUGAUUGCAUUACGCCAUGCGUCUUAAUCGCAUUUGUAGCAUGGAUUUGGACACCCACAUCUCAGGGCCGGCUAGAUAAACCCGUCACGUGAAAUUCGUUCUCGGUUCAUUCAUUCUUUCAUGCAUGCAUGCAUAUAUGCUAGCCUAGCUAGCUCACUUCGCGUGCCAACUUGCCCGGAAAUAUUCCUGCUUGGCCGCGCGCCGGGAAUGGGAUAGAUGAUAGUAGAUCAGCGUGUUGUUUUUCUUGGCCGCUGAUCGCCCCCAAGAACCACACGGAAACUAGCGUAGAAUAUCCUUGUCGCAACGCAACUACUCAAAAGACGUACCAGCUGGCGGGUCAAACCUCAAAAGUUGCCGCCUUUUGGUUUUAUUUUAGGUCUAGUCCUCCACUGAUCUGCCUACCUGCUUAUCGAUAAGAGAGAGCCACGGGAAACCGGCCUGAUGGUGAUUUCCCUCUUUUCGGCGAGACCUGACGGUGAUUUUCCUCUGCAGUACAUGGUGUUCGCCUGCUCCGACUCCCGUGUGUGCCCGUCGGUGACCCUGGGCCUGCAGCCCGGCGAGGCCUUCACCGUCCGCAACAUCGCCUCCAUGGUGCCACCCUACGACAAGGUAUGCAUACACAGACGACGUCCAAUACAAUACGUUCUUUUUGUUCUCACAAUCUCACGCUCACGCGCUCGUUCGAUCGCCUUUCGUUUUGUCGUCAAUCUGCAGACCAAGUACAGCGGCACCGGGUCCGCCAUCGAGUACGCCGUGUGCGCCCUCAAGGUGCAGGUGCUCGUCGUCAUUGGCCACAGCUGCUGCGGUGGCAUCAGGGCGCUCCUCUCCCUCAAGGACGGUGCACCUCACAACUUGUAAGUCAUCACUUUUUUUUUAUUUAUUUAUUUCACGGACACACUUAGCUUGAAGCGUGUGUUGUAUUUCAUUAAACCGAAAUGUAUGUAAUAAUCAACGUAAAAUGUACGUACAAGCAGCUAAGUUUCAUUCGGAACCUCUUUGUGUGCCUCGUGUCAUGAUUUUUUUUUUGACCCUAGCAUGAUGUCUCUGUUUGGUUUGGUGGUGUAUGUAUCCAGCCACUUCGUUGAGGACUGGGUCAGGAUCGGCUCCCCUGCCAAGGCGAAGGUGCACAAAGAGCAUGCCUCAGUGCCGUUCGAUGACCAGUGCUCCAUCCUGGAGAAGGUACGUACACCGUAUGUACACGCAUUGCAUGAAUGCAAUGAGUUGAUUUUGCUCACAAAAGGGACCUUGUAUUUUUCUGAAUGUUUCUGCAGGAGGCCGUGAACGUGUCCCUCGCCAACCUCAAGACUUACCCCUUCGUCAAGGAACGGCUGGCCAAAGGGACCCUCAAGCUGGUCGGCGCCCACUACGACUUCGUGUCCGGGAAGUUCCUCACAUGGGAGCCUGUAGGGUUCAUAACCUUCAUCCUUACAUUUUCAAUUGUACAUACUGUAUCUGAGACCACAUGGUUUUACCUCCUGGCACACUCCAGAUCCAAACUUCCUAUCCAUUUUCUCUCCUUCCUUGCCAUCGCAAUUAAUUUCUUUCUAAGAAGAACAAAAUCACCACCAAAUCCAACCACAACACUUGAAAUCCGCCCCAUGCAUAGCACUUGAAACCAGCCCCAACAUCUUAAUUGACCUACUUCUCAUCUUCUUCGGAUAUAAGAAGAUUGAACCCUAUCUCCACCGCAAAUACAUAUAUCGCGUUCACCCGCUACAAACUUCUAGUCCAGUUGUCGCCUGGUCCUCUAUCCGCUUCAAUUAGGCUUGCCGUUGCAUCGAAUUUCUAACCUCGUUGGUGCACCAGGCUCGUCUGUGGUGAUGGAUAUGAGGCCAUGGCCAUCGAGGUCCAUCUACCACAAAGAUGCCACUGCCUUUUUCCAUGGCCACCAUGGUUUGCCGAAUCAGUUGUCCCCCGAGGAAGCAAUCAUCAUGUUGGAGUCGUUCUUCUCUACAAAACGUGCUCAAGUAGCCAUCGACAUUCCGCUUAAGCGAUAUAUAUUGUCCACAAAAGCUGUGCUUGACCGUUACUCAUUUUUCAUCAAAUCCCGCGUUGUGCGGUGUCUCUUUCUCUCACUAAAACGAUUGCACAUGUCAUCAUGUUGAUGUUGCUAGUAAUCUAGACAAUGGGGCAGCUCAAAAGGUGAACGAGAGAGAUAUAGAGAGAAAGGGAGGGAGGGAGGGCCACACCGCAUCUAUCCAUCUGACUAUAAGGGGGCAAAAGAAGAAAAGAGGAGAAGAUGAGAAGUUGCAUUUGCCUCCCUGUUAUAUAUCAAAGGAGGGUCAAUGAAGCCGUCCAUAGAUUCCCACACCUCGUCACUCCUUGAGAACCAGAAGCCCACCCCAUCCAGUCCAAGGUCCGUUCCCUCAUCCUCCUCCCUCACCCUCGCCAUCAUCCUUCACAUAGCACACACAGUAAUCUUUGUCCGUCCCUCUGUUUUCUUUUCCUCUAUUGCCAUCAUGAGCCUGCAACUUCUGCUUUCUCCCUAUGUUGUAUUGUGUUGGUGCAAAGAAGAUCCAUCUUCCCCUUUUUGAUCAUAUUUUAUGCAUGCUUUCCUUAUGGUCCGUGGCAAGGAGGCCAAGCAUUGGCAUCAUGCCCCUUCUAUCUCUCUCUACCCCCUCAUGCCCCUUCUCUUUCUCUCUCUACCCCCGUCAUGCUGCAUCACGAUCAUGAGUAUGCAAGUUGGUCUUUCCGGGAUGGCAAAAUGACCGAUGGUUUUCUGGUUGUUGGUCUUGUAGGUGAUGGACGCCGUUGACCGCUUGAAGAGCGGGUUCGAGCAGUUCAAGAUCGAGGUCUAUGAGUAAGUCAUCUCUCUACUUAGAGCUGUUGUUUUUUUAAUUUGUAGCACCCAUGUUUGGUUUAAUAUUUUCAGUUUCAACCACUUGAUUUAUUUUGGGAAUUCUGAGAGCUCCGACUGAUACUGCCAUGUUGUCUUUUUUCUGCAGCAAGAAGCCAGAGCUUUUUGAGCCUCUCAAAUCUGGCCAGGCCCCCAGGGUAUGUGUAGGGAUGAAAAUGGAUCAAAUUUGUAUAGAAUCAAAUCCAUAUAUCACCUCUUAACACAUUUUUAUUCAAAUUCAGUUAUUGGAUACAUAUACUUUUGAAUACAAAUAUAAAACAAAUGUCUUGAAUCUGUAUUUCUAUUCAAAGAUUUACUCAAUUCAACUCAAAUUGUAUAUUGCUAAAUUCAACGUACAUGUAUACAAUUUUACUACUAAAUUCAUCGAUAAACCUUUUUUGCUUUAUCAAUUUUUUAGGUUUACAAACUAUUAUAUUGAAACAUUUGUGUAUAUAAUUUAAAAUGAAUGGUGACAGCUUGUCGCCAUUAGCGGCCAAUUGGCAAGUACUAGUAGUAGUCUGUUGGAUAUAAUCCCUCCAUCCUAAAUAUAUGCAGAAAUCAUCUAUUGAGGAGUAAUUCUUUUUUUCAGUUUAACUAAAAGUAUAAUUUAUUUCGAAAAAAUACUAAAUGCUCAAUCUAAUGAUAUUUAUUAUACACUAUAAACAUUAAUAUAUUUUUAAUAUAAAUAUAAUUAAAAUUUAAAAAUUUGAAGUUUCAUAAAGCGAGAUGUACAGUUAUUUUGGGACAAAAGAAAUAGUCCUAUAAUUAUUUUGUACUACAAAAGUCUGCUCCAUAGGGCACAAGCUUCAACUUUGGCACUACUAGUCAUAGGCUCAUUGCGCAAAGAAAUGGUGGUGGGAGUGGGAUACAUACAUGCUCCUUCUUUUCCCGAUCGAUCGACCUGAUGCUGAUUAUUUUCCUCUGCUGCAUGCAUGCAGUACAUGGUGUUCGCCUGCGCUGACUCCCGUGUGUGCCCGUCGGUGACCCUGGGCCUGAUGCCCGGCGAGGCCUUCACCGUCCGCAACAUCGCCGCCCUGGUCCCAGGCUACGACAAGGUACGUACACACUGACCGUCGUCGCCGACGACACAAAAUGGCCGUCUAUUUCUCCUCGGCCCGGCCGGCCGCCGCCGGCCGGGCAUGACAGAGGAUCGAGGACUGACACGGCCGCGCCUUUCGUAUUCGUCACCUGCAGACCAAGUACACCGGCAUCGGGUCCGCCAUCGAGUACGCCGUGUGCGCCCUCAAGGUGCAGGUGCUCGUCGUCAUUGGCCAUAGCUGCUGCGGUGGCAUCAGGGCGCUCCUCUCCCUCCAGGACGGUGCACCUGACAACUUGUAAGACGCCACCGUAAAAUAUACAAAGUUUCAUUAAGAUAAAACAAAAAUUCUUUUGUACCUCUAUGAUGAUUUUGAUCCCAGCGCAUUUUUAUCUGUUGUUUUUUUUGUGGUGUAUCCAGCCACUUUGUUGAGGACUGGGUCAAGAUUGGCUUCCCUGCCAAGAUGAAGGUGAAGAAAGAGAACGCUUCGGUGCCGUUCGAUGACCAAUGCUACAUUCUAGAGAAGGUAUGUACACCGUACAUGCACGAGCAGUUAGUUGCUGCAUGAAUGGAUUAAUUUUUGCUCACCGGAGAACCUUGUAUUUCUGAAAAUGUUUCUGCAGGAGGCCGUGAAUGUGUCCUUGGAGAACCUCAAGACCUACCCAUUCGUCAAGGAAGGGCUGGCCAACGGUACCUUAAAGCUGGUCGGCGGCCACUAUGACUUCGUGAAAGGAGAGUUCCUCACAUGGAAAGUCUAGAGCUAAGGCACCCGGACGGCCCAACUCCUACAUCAUCAUAAAUUUAUACCACAUAUAUACCUACCGAUAUGCACCCGAUCGAUGCGAAUGCGCGGAGUACUACAUGCAUGUUUUCAGCAACUACAUAUAUACAUACCGGAUCGCCCCAAUGUGAAUGUAAUAAGCAAUAGCAUUUUCAACCGCUUUCAUUUCUAACGCCGAGCUUUUAUGUACUAUAUAUAUAAUAUGAUGCAUAAUUGACCGGCUUGUGGUCAAAAGACAUCAACUAUAAUCCUUUUUUCAUAAUAUUGUUAUGAAGAGUUUACCUCUUUUUUUUGUCAUUAACGGAUCCAGAGAAACAGGCCAGGAGGGCAACACGCCAACACCCUCCGUCCUAAAAUAGAGUGCAUUCUGACAUUUAAGAUGUGUCCCAAAAUAUAGUACAUUCAAGGAACAUGAAGAUAAUAUUUACUUAAAUAAAGUUACGGAAGAGGAAAGUAAUUGAGUGCUUACUAUAUUUUCUAUAAGAAAACUUAGAUUGCAACCUUUAAUCAUACGAAUAAGAUCAUAUUUCAAUAUAUUAGAAAGUUAAGUGAGUAGUACAUGCGUCUAUUGUUUUUUCUCUCUCUCUCUUAUUUUGUCUUAAAUAGCCAUAACGCACUGUAUUGCAGAGCGGAGGGAGUACUUUGGAAGCAUCAAGAGCAAAAUCCAAGGAUGGAAAGCCCCAUAUGAACAACUAAGAUGAUAACUAGAAAUCAUACUCGCCAUACACGAGUACUUUGGAAGCAAGAAGAGCAAAAAUCCAAGGAUAGAAAGCCCCAUAUAAACAACUAAGAUGAUAACCAGAAUUCAUACUCGCCAUACACCAAUAGAUCUAACAAACAGCACUCAAUUCAAAAUGCUUAAUUAGACAAUACAUCAUUAAUGAUAGAAAGGUACUUAAUAAAUAGCUUCCGAUAAUUAAAUGAUCAAAUAUGUUUCACAAUUUCACACCACUUGAACAAGCAUCCUCCAAUCUACAUACAAAAUAAAAUAUCAUGGUUCUUCAAACAACAUGAUAAUAUUAUGGAUUGAAAUGAACUUAUACAACACACACCUUGGUCCCUUGUGUGGCAAAUUUAUCUACAAAUUCUUAAGACCUGUAAGCGGUUACACACUGUCCACACAUGUUCUACGCUUUAAUCAAUUUGAUUGGUUAUCAAACCAUUAUUGAACAAAACCUCUUGAUUAACUUUUAGUUUUACUCUCUUUUGUUGUUCUUUUAGUUUUACCCUCUUUCGUCUAGAGACGACGACUCCUUUCCCUAUUUCUCGCGAGGAUUCCUCUAUUAGGGGACAGAGAUAAGACCAAAUUAACCCCCAUAGGUAACUAAACAGAACCAAAUCUAUCCACUUGUAUCUACUGGGGCUGGGGCCGGGAAGCUUUCCUCGUACCUGCUCCUUGUCAAGCCCUCUUUAGCCGACUCUUCAUCUAGCUAUCAAUCUGACACAAUUGCAUCCAUCCAUCUUUGAUUCUUAUCUUAUACUAGAUAAUGGCUCGUGUAUUGUUGUGCACACACAAAAUUUUAAUCGAAUAACUUUUUUUACCAAAAUGAACUAAAAUAAACUUUUAUAUAGGUAUAAAAUUUAAAUUCAGCAUGACAUAGAAUUACCUAUAUUUCAAGUUUUGAGAUCCUUUGCAAUUGAAAAAAAAGGUAUUACACUUUAAUAAACCGUACGUAUCCACAUAUUGUGUUUUGGUGGGGUUCGAAGCAGAAUCCAUGGUGACCUUUGUGUUACAAGCAUUUUAACACCGACCUAGAUAUCAAAAAUCAAGUCCAAAAUAGUAAAAUUGACCAUAACAGUUGGAAUAAAAACGCAGCUUUAGCUUGAAAUAACUUGCAGGUAUUCAUGAUCAGAUUGAUCAAGAUAUUCAUGAUCAAGGAACGCACAAGGAAAAUGCUGAGUACAACCAAACUUGUACAGUUGUACUUAAGUAACAAUGACCUAUACAAUUGACUUAUACCAUUGACUUUUACCUGUACAGUUGCAAUCAAGUAUGGUACUUAUUUGAAAACAUAGCAAUCCAUUUCAAUGUAAAUGUAUUGAACCUUGAAAAAUAAUUUCGAGGAUUACAUAGUACAACAUAGACGUCUACAACAUGCACGCAUACUCACACUAAUGAAUACACAUACGCAAACCAUACUCAUAUGAGCAUCUCCGAAGAAUUAAGCUGACAGAUCAUCUCGAGAUUCACAAAGUCAUUAAAGGCGUCUCGUUCUCGACGGGGACGUCACCUACCACUGGAAACAUAGCGUCGUUAAAUCUUGAAAUAAAUUUAGAAAAACAUGAGCACCCAUGCUAAGUCGACGAGGUGUUUGGGACUGCUCUGCUCCACUUUUUUCAGCUCCGCUCCACGUUUUUUAGCCAAACGGUUUCAGCUCCACGCACUGAGUUCGAGAAAAAAAAGUGGAGUUGUGAGAGCACCUAAAGAGGUACUCCACGAACUCCAGUUUUUUGUAGAGCUACUUCAUAGUGGAGUUUGUGAAGCAGAGUUCGUGGAGCAGUGCCAAACACCCCCUUAAACCUAGAUGGACAAGUUAACGUGAAAAAAUAGUUUAAUUUGCACUCCAGUCUUAUAGAUUUUUUUUGCGAGGACCAAUCUUAUAGAUCUAUAGUAAUUGAUUUUAUCUAGACAAUGUCUAAUAUUGCCACGUAGAACAAAUUAGCACCACCAGCAGAGAAACUUUAGAAAGAAGAUAUAUAAAUCAUAAGUUAUUCUAACUUUUUAAGUCAAAGCAUAUUAGUUGACCAAUUUUAUAGAAAAAUCUUAAAAGUUUUAUGAUAUUAAAUAGGUAUAUUAUAAAAAUAUAAUUAAUAAAAAUUUUAAUAAUACUUAUUUAAUAUUAUAAAGGUUUUAUAUUAUAUAAUAAAUUUUGUUAGAUUUGAGGUGAGUUGGAAUAAGUUAUAAUUUAGAAUGGAUAUUGUAGCUAGUAGAAGUACUCCCUCUAUUCUUGAAAGAUACAAUUUCUAGAGUUGUCUUAAAUCAAACUUUUAAAACUUUAACCGAAUUUCUAGAAAAAAGGUUAAGAUUUAUAGUAGUAAAUUGAUACCAUUAGAUCUAUCAUAGAAUAUAUUUUUAUAAAAUACUUAUUUUAUGAUAUAAAUAUUGAUGCUUUUUUGUAAAGAUCAUUAAAUUUUAAAAAAAUUAACCAACACGAAUUCUAGAAGUUGAAACUUUCAAUAAGGUCUUGUUUAGUUCACCCCAAAAACCAAAAUCUUUUCAAGAUUCCCCGUCACAUCGAAUCUUAUGGUACAUGCAUGGAGUAUUAAAUAUAGAUAAAAAUAAAAACUAAUUGUACAGUUUACCUGUAAAUCACGAGAUGAAUCUUUUAAGCCUAGUUACUCUACGAUUGGAUAAUGUUUGUCAAAUAAAAACGAAAAUACUACAGUUCCGAAAAUUUUUCAGUUUUCGAAACUAAACAAGGGCUAAAGAGUAGUGUUUAUGACAAAAGGAAAAAAAAAAAGAUCGGCACUUGGCACCCGGCCACCCGCCCUCCACCCUAGGCCCGACGCGACCCGACCCCCACCUAGACCGGUCUCGGUCGGACUCUCGGCGUCUCUCGCCACGCGCGGGCGCGCCGCAAACAGUCCUCCGCCCGCCGUCGUACCACCCCCACCCGUGCUUCCUCCGUCGGUUGGCUGCAACAAGUCGGCAGCGCCGCGCCCGCCUCCCGACGCCCCAAGCCCCCAAUCGCUCCUCCUCCAUUUCCCACCCAUCCAGAAGUCCGCCGGCGCAGAGGGACCAGGGUUCGCCGCCAGCAGAUGCAGUUGCAGGAGCAGGGUUCGCCGCCAGCGCCAGUAGACGCAGGAGCUCGGCGGAUCCACAUCGGAGGCGAGCUGAUCCUCUACAGAAGGUGCCCCGCUGCUCCUCCCGUAGUCCUGCUGCUCCCGUAUUUGAUUAAUUUCUCCGGCUGCGAAUCGACUCAUGGGGGAAGAAACAGUUUUAGACGACAACGCCCUGGCUUUCUCGGCGGGUACGUAAUCCCCGUCCAGGGACGGGGAUGGGGAUGGGGUGAAAGUGAAAAACCCUCCCCUGCGAGGUUUUACGGGGACGAGGACGGGGAUGGGGAAGCGUUCCCCGACGGCGAAUUUCCCGUUGCCAUCCGCUCGUCUGUGAUGCUGGAUACGACGAGGCCAUGGCCAUCGAGGCCCAUCUACCACAACGACGACGGCACUGCCUUUCUUCCAUGGCCACCCGUGGUUUCGCUGAAUCAGUGGUCCCAAACUGUCAUUUUGGAGUCGUUAUUUCUCCUCCUCCAAAACGCGAGGAGUAGCCAUCGACAUUCCGCUCGCUCAGGCGUUUAAUUUUGUCCACAAAAGCCGGGAUCAGCCGUUACUGGGCGUCUCUUUCUCUCGCUGAAACGAUUGCACGUGUCCUGUUGCUAGUAAUAAACUGGACAACGAGCGGGGCAGCUCAACAAGAGGCACAGCCAAACGAGAGAGAGAGAGAGGAGAGGAGAAAGGGAGGGAGGGCCGCCGCGCAUCCAUCCGUCCGGAGAUAAGAGGGGAGUGGAAGAAAAGAGGAGAAGAUGAGCAGCUGACUUUGCCUCCCCCGUUAUAAAAGGGAGGAGGGGGCAGGGAGGAAGCCGUCCAUAGAUUCCUCCGCCUCGUCACUCCACUCCUUGAGAUUUGAGAACCACAAGGGCCACCCCCCACCCACCCUCCAAGGUCCGUCCCCUCCUCCUCCUCCUCCUCCCUCACCUUCAGCACCAUCCUCUCCAUUCCUCCACACAGCAAUAUCUGUCAAUCCCCCCCGUUUUGUUUUCCUCUGUUGCAAUCAGUAGCGUGUACCCUGUAGCUGUAGCUUCCACUUUCUUGCUGUGUCGUACUGUGAUGGUGCAAAGAAGAUUCCUGUUCCCCCUUUUAGAUCACCUUUGUGCAUGCCUUUUCUUGUGGUCCGUGGGCAAGGAAGGAGGCCGAAAAUUGCAUCAAUGCCCCUCCCUUCUCUCUCUGUCUAUACCCCCUCAUACUGCAUCACGAUCAAGAGCAUGUAUGCAAGUUGGUCUUUCUAGGGAUGGCGAACUGACCGGCGAUUUUCUGGUUAUUCGUCCUGCAGGACAUGGCGGACGCCGUCGACCGCUUGAAGACCGGGUUCAACAAGUUCAAGACCGAGGUCUAUGAGUAAGUCAUCUCUCUACUCGAUCAGAGAGCUGUUGCUUUCUGCAGCCCCGGCGUUUGGUUUAAUCGUUUCAGUUUCAACCCCAUGGUGCUUGCUUUUUUUUUUGGGGGGAACUCUGAGAGCUCCGACUGAUCCUGUGCCUGCUUGAUUUUUGUUUUUUUCGCAGCAAGAAGCCGGAGCUGUUCGAGCCUCUCAAGGCCGGCCAGUCCCCCAAGGUAUGUGCUACUGCCAUACUUCGCUCUCUUCUCACCUCCCUUGUACGCCGCUAAGUUUUUCGUCUCUAGCGACUCCGGCCGGCCAGUUUUCGGUUAUCUGUCGUACUCGUAGGUGCUGCUGCUCCCGUGAUCCUCAGCACAGAUCCUGGAUGGUUAAUUAGACAAAACCGUGUUCAGUAAAUUCGGAUUUUCCGUGGGCCUCUGGGCAACGUCCGACUGGCCCACAGAUUUGGUGCUACUCUUGCUUGCUGGUUGCCCAUCUGCCUCAGAGAACCGCGUCGCUGCUAGUACUAGGCUCUGUAGCUCAUCAGUAUCCCUGCAUUGCAAUGCACUAUUCAUCGUCCACCCUGUCGUGUCCCUGGGUGCGCACGCAGCCACGCCGGUAAGGUGAGGUCAAAGUUGCAGUAGACAAAAGGAAACCUUUGUGCCGGUACCGAGGUCAAAGUUGCAGUAGACAAAAGGAAACGGAUUGUCCUAAUUGCACGGCUUAAAACUGAGGUGACAGCUUGUCGCCAUUAUAUUAGCGGCCAAUUGGCAAGUAGUUCUGUUUGGAUAUACUACAUAACUAGUCCUAUAAUUGCUUUGUGCAACAGUGCAAGUCUGCACCAUAGGGCACAAGCUUCAGCUUUGGCACUACCAGUCAUAGCGCAAAAGAAAUGGUGUAGUGGGAUAUACAUGCAUGCUUGCAAAGCAAAAUCCUUCACAGCUCCCACCGGCCACCACUGUGCCGGGCACUAACCCCAUGUGCGGCAUGCUAGCUGGUGAUUUGCAUUUGUUUGGUAAAUUAUUGAGAUGUCGCCGUCCCUAUAUAGGCUCACUUUGCAGAUGACGGAUAUAGUAGUACGUUAGUAUUAGUAUAUUGAUUUUCCUUCAGUUGACUAGUAUAAACCUGGUGCAAGAAUCUUGCAAGUACAGAGUUUAUUGUUUUAAUUUAUAGGAGUUUUGAGCUGGCAUCGAUCCCAUGCGCCUAAUUAGUAAAUACUUCAUGAAAUGCAUGCAUGCAUGGUAUAGCUAGCUGGUUCUACUGGUUUUUCCUACCCAUGAAAAUUACUAGUAGUCAAAUAUUCUUUGUAGUAAAGGAGAAGAUAAAAGCAGUCUAAUUUGGCGUACUCAGUCUGUGGAAAACAAAGAACUACUCUGCACAUUGUUUGAAUUAUAAUGGUCACUUCCACCUACUAGCCGUGUUGAAUUCUUUUUUUGAACAUAUGGUCACUUUCAUCAUUACAUUUGAAGGGGCAGCAACAGAUGGUGGUGACCAGCCAUUUCAGAUGUCUCAUCAUUUCGAUUUUUUUGUUUGACACUCACAUACACAACACAAACACAAAGAGACGUGAACCCCAAGUCUCCUUUACCUUAUAUGAUAGAACAGAAAUAAUGCAAGGGGAGCCAUGUACUAGAUAAGAACAGGUGUGUAUUAGCAUUCAUCAUUCCAUGGCUAAUGUGUGGUCCAGCCAUGAUUGAGCACAGGCCCCACCAUUCACCUCACGGGAUUCUUCUUUCUUCAUCGUCAGUAUAGAAGAGGAGUAGUUGGUUUGGACGUGUCCUCUCCCCUCUCCUCUCACACCCCUUGCAAAAAAGUUAGGCGCAUAAUUGUUGGGCAGCAGGGCCUAUUGGCGGUUGCUUUAGCAUUGAGAACACUGUGUAUUCGCAUCCAUAUCUCACUGGACAUGCCGAUCCUCGAGAAAAUAUGCUUUACUACACUACAGAUGUAUGUCUCAGAGUAUAUAUACACAAAAAAUAGUGGAAGAUGAUUGCAUUACGCCAUGGGUCCUAAUCACCUUUGUAUCCCCGGGUCCCUUUCCAAAUCAUGGCCUCCCAAGUCCCAAGUGUGAGCUAAUCCAAGCCAGAACAAAUAUUCCAGCGUCCUGCCUCCCGAAGACUCCUGAUGGCUGAUGCUGCUCUUUGCCGUCAAAUUAAAGCUUAAUCUGCACUAUUGAUUUGGACACCCACAUCCCAGGGCCACAUAAACCCGUCACAUGAAAUUCGUUAUCUGUUCAUUCACUUAUAUGCAUAUAUGCAGCCUCCCUUUUGCCUACCAACUUGGCCGGAAAUAUUCUUGCUUGGCAGCCGGGAAUAGGAUAGAUAAGCGUGUUUUUCCUUGGCCGCUGAUCUGCCCCGGGAGCACACGGAAACCAGCUUAGAAUAUCCUCGUCGCAACUUGUACUAGUAGCACGGAAGGAACCUUCCUGCAGCCUGGAUUUUGUCCAUCCUGCCCCUGUAAAAAAAAGAGCAUUGGAACAACAAAGACAGGCGGGUCAAAACUCACAAAAGCUGCCGCCUUUUGGCUUUGGUUGCCAGCUUGCAAAUCCACCACAGCCAGAAUCGUGUAGUACUCCACUGAUCAGGACCGAUCUGCCUACCUGCUUAUCGAUAAGAGCCGUGGGAACUGGACUGAAUUUUGCCGGCUCUCCCUCUUUUCACCGACCUCUGAUGGUGAUCUUCCUCUGCUAACACGCAGUACAUGGUGUUUGCGUGCUCCGACUCCCGUGUGUGCCCGUCGGUGACCCUGGGUCUGCAGCCCGGUGAGGCCUUCACCGUCCGCAACAUCGCCGCCAUGGUCCCAGCCUACGACAAGGUACGCGUCCACACUGACCGACGCAUUGGACGUCUAAUUUUUUCAAGCCCGGCCGCCGUGGAACAUUGACGGACGACUAACAUGGUUGCCUUUCGUUUUUGUCACCUGCAGACCAAGUACACCGGCAUUGGGUCUGCCAUUGAGUACGCCGUGUGCGCCCUCAAGGUGCAGGUCCUCGUCGUCAUUGGCCACAGCUGCUGUGGUGGCAUCAGGGCGCUCCUCUCCCUCCAGGAUGGCGCACCUGACACCUUGUAAGUCAUCAUCCCUAGAAUAUAUACAAAUUUCAUUUAGGUUAAGAAACAAGACUCGUGUGCCUCGAUCGAUCUCGUGUCAUGAAUUUGAUCCUAGCAUUGUUGUCCGUUUGUUUGGUGGUGUAUGUACGCAGCCACUUCGUUGAGGACUGGGUCAGGAUCGGCUUCCCUGCCAAGAUCAAGGUGAAGAAAGAGCACGCUUCGGUGCCGUUCGAUGACCAGUGUUCCAUCCUGGAGAAGGUACGUACACCGUACACGCACGAGCUGUUAGUUAUUGGAUGAAUAAUGGAUUGGUUUUGCUCACCAAAGGACCUUGUAUUUUCUGAAUAUUUGUGCAGGAGGCCGUGAACGUGUCCCUCGACAACCUCAAGACGUACCCCUUCGUCAAGGAAGGGCUGGCCAACGGGACCCUCAGGCUGGUCGGCGGCCACUACAACUUCGUGUCAGGGGAGUUCGACACAUGGGAAAUUAAGAGCUAAGCUGCCCGGCCGGCCGCUUAACAACUCCUACCAUCAUCAUAAAUAUAUAUACUACAUACCUACCGAUAUGCACCCGAUCGAUGUGAAUGCGUGGAGUAUUACUCAUGUUUUCUGCAUGCAGCGACAUAUAUAUAUAUAUACCGGAUCGCCCAAUGUGAAUGUAAUAAGUAAUAGCAUUUUCUACCGCUUUUAUUUCUAACGCCGAGCUUUCAUGUACUAUAUAAUGUGUUAUAUGAUGAGUAAUUUGACCGCCCUGUGGUCAAAAGACAUCAGCUAUAAUCCUUUUUUCGCAAUAUUUAUUAUGAAGCGUUUACCUCUUGUACUGCCUUUACUGUUCAUCUUUUCUGUCUCUCUAUGAAAUGCUGAUAUAUGACACCAUUUAUGUGAG